GGUCGCGUCGGGCGGGCGGCGUCGGGCGGGCGAUCUUGACGAGAUCACGAACCAGCGAUCCAUAUAUACUCACUCCCUCUUCCUCCACCCGCUUGUCUACAUCCAACCUCGAUUCGGUCUCGGUCUCUCCCCACGAGACCGGAUAAUUCCUAGAGUACUACCUCGCGAUCCCCUCCCUCACUCCGCCAAAGCUUUGCUCCGCCGAGACGAGAGAAGAAGGGAGUUAUCGAUUCGGUUCUGGUUCGAUUCGAUCGGCGAUGGGGAACGCGUCGGCGAUGCUGACGCAGUACGACAUCGAGGAGGUGCAGGAGCACUGCAGCUACCUAUUCUCGCAGCAGGAGAUCGUGGCGCUGUACGAGCGCUUCUGCCAGCUCGACCGCAGCGCCAAGGGCUUCGUCUCCGAGGACGAGUUCCUCUCCAUCCCGGAGUUCUCCACCAACCCGCUCUCCCAGAGGUUGCUACGCAUGGUUGAUGGAUUGAACUUUAAGGACUUUGUUUCAUUUCUCUCUACAUUCAGCGCAAGGGCCAGCCUUCAGCAAAAGAUCGAGUUGAUAUUUAAGGUGUAUGACAUUGAUGGCAAGGGGAAAGUAACCUUCAAGGACCUGGUAGAGGUUUUACGGGAUCUAACAGGGUCAUCCAUGUCAGAGAAACAAAGAGAGGUUUUCAUUUCGUGCAAUCCUGGAUUUGACUGCAUAGUACAUUAACUUGCAACUGCACUAUUAAAAAAAAUGGGAGCGAUUCCUUAUCAUCUGAAGUAUUAACAAAGGUAUUGGAAGAAGCUGGGUACACGAAGGAUUCCACGUUAUCAUUGGAAGAUUUCAUGACGAUCAUCGACCACCCUGGACUGAAAAUGGAGGUGGAAGUACCAAUCGACUAAUGAACGGUGGAGUCAUAUCUGCAAAGCUCUCCGUGGCUUUGUCAACUGUCCAUAAACCCACCGAGCGUGCGACAAAAGGGAGUGUGUAGGCGCUCUGUCGCCUUUCUUGUGUAUUAGAUCUCACAAGUUUUUUUUUCUUCCGGAAAGGAGGGUAGGCCCCCGGAUAAAUCUCACUAGUUUAUUACGGAGCACAAUGCAGUGUCGGUGUAGUUCUUUGUUUUUGUUUUGAAGGAAAUGCGGUGUCAAUGUAGUGUAGUGUGUGUGAACCUUGUUACAGUUUCCAUACUUCGAACAUCUUGAAACCACGACUUGUGAUGGAAUCUCACGUGAGCUGACAUA